rnacentral:rRNA from 1 species
UACGAAGGGGGCUAGCGUUGCUCGGAAUCACUGGGCGUAAAGGGCGCGUAGGCGGAUCUUUAAGUCGGGGGUGAAAGCCUGAGGCUCAACCUCAGAAUUGCCUUCGAUACUGGAGAUCUUGAGACCGGAAGAGGUGAGUGGAACUGCGAGUGUAGAGGUGAAAUUCGUAGAUAUUCGCAAGAACACCAGUGGCGAAGGCGGCUCACUGGUCCGGUUCUGACGCUGAGGCGCGAAAGCUAGGGGAGCAAACAGG